GCACAUGCGCAGAAUCAUCGUUGUGCGCGGCUCUCCCUUUGCUUCUACGGUCGCAAUCCUCUUGCUUCUUUUAUUGCGCGUGCGUGUAGCGCUUUUGCAAAGACUCGGAGGUGAAGGUAGAGGCUGUGGGGCCGAGGGUCCACUUAUAGCUAUCAGCCCACAAGCAUUUAGUCUACGUUGGAGGUAAACAAAUACGGGUCCAGCUUAGGAGAAAAGAAAAACGUCUUACAGUGUCUAAACUCCAACAACGGAAUGUAUCAAUGAGACCUUGCAUAUGGAUACACGUGCAUUUAAAACGGCCCCGCCCGCGUGUAGAGCUCUUGCCGUUCGCCAGCGCUUUACAGGGGUUAUCGCACUUAAGCCUCGGAACAACUUUACCAGAUGAGGACACCUGAAGCUCAGAUUAAGAAAUCUGCCCGAAAGUCUUAGAACUGUUAUUCUACCAGAAAGGAAUGAAGAACAGGACCUUCAGGAAUUGAGUCACAAUGCAGACAAAUAUCAUAUGGGAGAUUAUUGCAAGGAAGAGAUUGAUGAUAGUAUUUUCUACUAGCCAUUGGGAAGAUAAAAGGAGACAGAAGAUUGAAGUCUUUUCCAGCCAUUCUUUCCCUUUUUGCUUCCAAACUCCUCAACGGGGAACCUUCAUAUGUGCAGUAUUUAUAUUGGAUCACACUGAUGAUUAUAAAGGUUCCUAGGAGGCUAGAAGCCAACUAACAGAGAAGGGAAAGCAGUCUGUUCUGAACAUAGGGACAUAAGUUCAUUCAUGCCAUGUAUCUUUUCAGCAUGUUUCUCCCACUUAGAAACAUCUAGCAUUUAAGGCCUUUUAAUAUUAAUGUAAGCCCAAUACCAGCUCUUUCCCUUUGUAUUUCAUCUCUUUCUACUCUCCUAUUUGUAUUUUGUGUUCCUAUCAAAGUGUCAUAUCUGGGAGAUGACCUGCCUGUUCCUGUUCUAUAACAGUUUUGUUUGCUGCUAUGUCUCUAGAACAGUGCCUGUCUCACAGUAAGCACUCAAUAAACCUUUGCUGAACGAAUGAAUGGUUAUCUUUUCUCUGGCAAUCCAAAUUCACUACUCCUUAAAAAUUCUACGUUAAGAUUUGCUGGCUGGGCACAGUGGCUCACGCCUGUAAUCCCAGCACUUUGGGAGACCGAGGCAGGUGGAUCACCUGAGGUCAGGAGUUUGAGACCAGCUUGGCCAACAUGGCGAAACCCCGUCUCUACUAAAAGUAUAAAAAUUAGCCAGGCGUGGUGGCGGGCACCUGUAAUCCCAGCUACUUGGAAGGCUGAGGCAGGAGAAUCACUUGAGCCUGGGGAGCGGAGGUUGCGGUGAGCCGAGAUCAUGCCACUUCACUCCAGCCUGGACAAAAAAAAAAAAAGUCUCCAAAAAAAAAAAAAAAAAAAAAAAAAAAAAAGAUUUGCCUAUUCCAGCAAACUUCUACCCAAUAUCAAUCUAGAGUUAAAUAACUUCAUUUCCCACAUCGCUUUAGCAAUUACAUGUAGUUUGCACUUCAUUAACAUACCCUUAUUUAUGUUACUUCUCACAUACACCCAUAUCUCUUCUGUAUUUUAAAUCAAAAGAUAAUGCCUUAAAUGUUGUAUAUAUAUUGUAGGUGCCACUCAACAGUGCCUCAUAUGCUGCAAAAACAAAACAAAACAAAAAAAAACAGUAAACAUAAGGGUACCUUUUUGUCUUUAAGCCAUAUUUUCUGGGUCAGUGUGGUCUUUCAAGGGAGUUUAGAUAGUCAGGCUCUAUUUUUUGUUACUUCACUCCUAUAGUAUGUGACUUUAAAUUGUUCCUUCAGUGUUCAGUUUAAGUACAAACUAAGAAGAGAAACAGUUUCCUUAAAAAACAUUUUAAAGUUACAGAGACACCUAUGUGUAACAUUUCUCCAGAAAUAUUUGAAGUAAUGUAAAACUUCUGGACUGGUCAGUUUAAAUAUUUUCUUGGAAUUUCUAUAGAAAUUUAUGUGGAAUUAUGUUAUAUUGGAAAUAGUAAAUGAACUAUAAGAAGACUCCUACUUCUUCACAGAGAACAAGCAGGGAUAUCCUGGAUUUUCACAGUAUUUAAGCCACUCCUUAGUUGUCUCAUGAAGGAAUUAAGGUAGUGGAACACAUUCAAGGAAUUGCUCAGGUAUCAAAAUAAGACUAUACAAAGUGUAACAGUUUUUUCUGUAGUAGAUUUUCAAAUAGUUAAAAGACUCUGGCCUCUUUUAUUUCUCUAUCUUUACUGUAUUCUGGCAGUAAUAAAGCAAUUUCUAAUGAUGCCAAAUUAACAGCAGUUUCUUUGGCCCUUUCCUUUCCCUCCAUGAAAGUUACAAUAUUAGGUUAUUUCACAGGUUUCCUCCAUGCCCCCCAUACCCAACCUAAAACUGUGUUAGGCUGUCAAAGAAAACGAAUCAGGUAAGAUUACCAUUUACCUUUAUGCAGUCAUUCUAAGUACACAUAAAAUCAGACAUUAACAUGAAAAUAUAGGGGGAAGAGAAACAUCAAACCAUAGAACUGAGUUUUAGUUUUACUGACAUUUAUAUGGCAUACUUCCUGUUUUUGAUUUCAGAAGUGCAACCAUGCAGUGCUUCUAUGAAAAACUGAAUAGUUGAGUACAGUUUGAGGAUUAUGACAACUUAUCCAAAGGCAACAAACAGACCUAACUUACUGCUGUUUUCAUUUGUGGAAUUGCUAUCUUUGUUGUAAAAAGCUGAGUAUUUUUCAAACAUCAUUUAAUAAUAGGGUAGCCCCUAAAACAAGCAAGGAACUGUAAGUCUGAGUUCUGAAUUUGACUAGUAAUGGAAUAAGAAAACCAAGCCAAACUGCAUUUAAAUAUGUAUGUAAAAGUAAUGCUUGUAAAAAUUUGGGUUUUCCUCAUUUUGAGAUUUCAGUUGCUAGUUGACUAUUGGUAUGCAUUAAUUAACAAUUCUGCCUAAAGGAGGUAAAGGAUAGAGGUUAAUUCUUAAAUAAAAGUCCCUUUGUUUCACUAUUAACUUUUUCUAUUUGAAGCAUAAUUGUGUCAGCUAGUUUAUUUUUUGGUAACCACUUAGGAAUUUGGGAAGGAGGGGGGCACUCAAGUAAGCAAAGACAGCCAGCUAGACAUCAAAAUCCAUGUUCUUACUUCAUGGCCAUACAGAUAAAUUUCAUUUCCUAGCCUCCCUUGCAGUUAAGAUGUGGGCAUAUGACUAAGCUCUAGCUAGUGGGAUGAGAAUGGAAGUCAACUACUUUUAAGCUCUUUAAGUCAACUAAAGAAAUCAACAACUUUAAGCUCCUGUCCCUAAAAAACACUCCCAACAGACUGACCCCUCCAAGGAAACCUUGGAAGUUAGCUCCUAAAUGCUUAGGUACAGAAAGACCUUGGAAACUAGUAAACAAGUAGUAAACUUGUUUAGCAAGAACAGCUUUGAGCCACUAUAUAUUUUUGGGAUGAUCUAUUAUGGCAAUUAGCCUACCCUCAUUAAUUUGAUAUAUAAAACAUAUAUGCAAUGUCCCUAUGAUACACAACUCCACUGGUCACCAUUUACAUGGUAAUGUAUGCAAACGGGAUUUUUCUGAAGCACAACUGAGAGGCUACAGCUAUGCAUACAUAUGAAUAUAGGUAAAUGUUCCUCCUAGGAGUGGUAACAUGCUGUGGCUUUGCCAACUCACUCCAACUUCUCAUGGGUUUUAUUGUGGAUGAAUAUCGAUUUGUGUAAAGGAACUUCCCUUUUGUGUCUGUGGUAAUAGAUAAAGGUGAAAUGGAUCUUCCAACAAGAAUCUUGAGGGGAAAAUAUAUACUUAGGAUCAAAAUAAGAUCUCUUUCUUGGGUUUGUCCAAUAGCGAUGGCUACACAUUAGUCCUAUAACCUUUUAUGUACCGCCAGGCAGUAGGCCAUACUAGUAUUAGAAGCCCCUUCCUUUCUCAAAAAAAAAAAAAAAAAAAAAAAA